UGUUACGCUCCGCUCUUUUCAAUGCACAUGUAAGCAAAUGUCCCAAUAAAGACAACCGUCAUUGAUUUAGUGUUGCGCUACUGUUUUUAGGAAUAUAUAUUAGUGUGAAUUGCGGGUCUCUCAGGUGCAGACAGCGUGAGUUUUCAGACAGGAAUUCAGCAGUCUUUUGUCUUUUAUCAGGCUGAUAUAGUUGUGUAUGGCAGUCCAGACGGCAGCAUCAAGCUUGGCUUUGUAUUUGUAUCCAUUCCAUGCAGUCACUAAAAGAGAGACAACCAGCAGAAUUGUGUCCAGAGAUUUGUCUUCCACCUACACAUCACCAGAACACAACGCAGAAAGCUGUGUCUAUGGCGCGCAGAUCACCAUCUGCAUUGUUUGUGAUACCGGGAGCACGGGUACAGGUCCGUUGCAUUUCUAACUGCCAUGGGGAGAAAACGGUCGGCUGAAAACACUCCAGACAAGGGCGAAUGACCGCACACCGAGAGGCGAGCGAGCAGAGGCUGUUAAUUCAACAACCAAAUGCAAUUGAUUUUUACAUACAAGAACACCAGAAGCUAUCGUCAGAGCUUUGGACUCUAAACGUUUAUAUUUCUUAGUUUUUCUUGUCUAAAACUUCCCCGAUAUUGGGUGUUUGGACUGGAGAGAACGGAAGGUGAGUACAUCAUAAGAGAUGGAGGGAGAGGGGGACUCAUUUAAGGUCAACUUGAGUGUAUCAAUGUGGUAUCAUGUGGUAUAUGCAGUGUUGUAUCAUGUGGUAUAUGCAGUACUUAGAUGUAGAAAUGCAACCAGUGUUUCUGGCUCUCUCUCUUCUGCACUUCCUUUUCUCUGCUUGCUCUCUCCCUUUUUCUAUAUUUUUUUCUCUCUCUCUCUCGGUCUCUAUCUCUCGGUCUCUCUCUCUCUCUGGCCCCUAGAUCUCUCUCUGUUUCACUCUCUAGGUCUCUGUCUCUCCCUCUCUGUUUCUCCCUCUCUGUUUCUCUAUAGGUCUCUCUUUCUAGGUCUCUCUUUCUAGGUCUCUCUUUCUAGGUCUCUCUCUCUGCCAUCAAGAGUGGAUUUGAUGGAGAUGAAGGGGGACGGAGGAGGGAGACAUCUUUUAAUAUUUAAAUCAAUAUCCUAGAAACAGUUGGUUGACCGUUACUAUGAUA